rnacentral:rRNA from 1 species
GACGAACGCUGGCGGCGUGCUUAACACAUGCAAGUCGAGCGGUAAGGCCCUUUCGGGGUACGACAGCGGCGAACGGGUGAGUAACACGUGGGUGACCUGCCCUUACGCUCUGGGAGUAAGCCUGGGAAACGUGGGUCUAAUACCGGAUAUGACUCCAUGACGCAUGUUGUGGGGUGGAAAGCCUUGUGCGGCUAGGGAUGGGCCCGCGGCCUAUCAGCUUGUUGGUGGGGUGAUGGCCACCAAGGCGACGA